UUUACUUUUUUAAAAUUUUUUUCCACUCAACAUACAGAACAAAAAAUGUAUUUGCAACAUGCGAGUUGCAUUUAUAAUAUGUUCAUGGUGCAAGAAACAUUUAGGUUUCCAAUGAUUUUCUGUAAAUUUCCACCCACAACAACGUUAUACAAGAAUGUUAGAACCUUAUAAUAAAUAAAAAUGUAUUUUUUAUUAUAUUUAAUAACAUUAUAGAAAUUUAAUAAAACCGCAAGAAAAUAUUUUUUAUUUUAAAGAAUAAAAAAAUAAAUUUAAUUGGCAUAUAAACUAAAAAAUGAAAUUGUCACAACUGGCCUUGAACCCAGCUCGCACGAAUAACAAAACAGUAGAUGCGCACUUAGCACCCGCGGCCAUCGCGUUUCAUGCCGAAAAGUGGCUUUUCUUACCGGCCAAAAUGCACAUAUUUAGAUGCAAUUUUCUCAGAAACUAAGGCCCAUUCACCCAAAAACCAAAACACUGUUUUUGUUUUUUCAACUCUCCUUUUGAAUGCUCUAUGGCUCAUUCAAAAGUAGAGUUAGCAGAUGUUGGCAUCUUCUUGUAAGAUCUGUAAAAUACAAUUCUGGUAGAAAUUCUGUAUCAUUUUACUUAUUUAAGCUCAUUUUUUGUCGUUUAAUAUGUAGCAUCUCAAAAAUAAGUAUUUUUUUAAUAAGACGGUUCUUUGCCUAAAAUUUUGAAAUGCUCCCAGUCAAAUUCACAAUUCUAAUCUAUGAUUACAAAUAACCUAUAAUAAACCAUAUUUUUUUAUUAAUAUCUUUUAUUUUCUUCUUCUUCUUCUUCUUUACGAAAAUCUUGAAGGCUUGUUUCACCAAUUUUGAUUCUUCUCUUGGGAUAUACAGAGUGUCUCAAAAUAUACUGGUCAACGCUCGUUGAUAAAAAGGUAGAAGGAUCGAGAUGAACGUAAAAGUCUAAUAUUGUCUUAAGUUAGAUCUUGGGUUAGAUCCACCAAUAAUCGAGGUAUUAAUUUUUCAAAUUAUGCAAAUAAGAGCGCGCCGAGAGAAGAACUCGAUCCGCUCAAGCCAUAACACGGAAGAAAAAAUCUAUCGUGAAUGUAUUAUAAGCUUUCAUUAAUUUACUGUUCACGAUUACGAUAGAAAUUAAUUAAAUUAUUUGCCGAUUCCAUACGUUAAUAUCUCGAUUAUUAGUGGACCAAGAGAAUAUUAGACUUUUAUAUUCAUCUCGAUCCCUUUUACCUGUGCGCGAUGGAAUGAGCGCGUGUGAGAAGAGGCGAGAAACUCGAAUGAACGAGAGGGGGAGCGGCAACAAUCACUUUUCUAAAAACUAUUCUUUAUUACAAAUGUACAAAGUUAACAGGACAAACACUUAUGCCGCGAGAUUAAUUCGCGCGAGAAGCGAAGCGGUCACGAAGGGCGAUGCGAUCGCGAUAGAUUCUUACGGCAGAAUGAACGGAACAGGGCGCGAAAAAGACAAAAGAAAACGAGGUGGCAAUGAAGAGAGCUCGGAGCAUCUCUCCGUUGCCAGGUAACUCAAAAACGUGCUGAUAACAAUUCCUUAUUAGGCAAGCCGUGCUGAUUACAAUUCCUUAUUAGGCAAGCCUGCACGAUUCCCGGACUUUCCAAAAACAAAGACCUAUGUGAGGUCACGGCCACCGUCGAGUUAAGCCCCGUGCAUAAUAAUUCCGGUCCCGAACAUUAAUUCCGAUCCCAAACAUACCUUUUUACGAGCGUUGACCAGUAUGUUUUGGGACACCCUGUAUAUAUUUAACAUAAAUUAAGGAAUUAAAAAUAAUUUGCAUUUAAUAAUAAAAAUCAACUCAAAAUAAAAAAAAAGUAAAUUUAUGGAAUAAAACAUAUAUUUAAAUUGAAAUAAAAUAUUUUAUUUGGCGGAACUCAUACAGAAUACCGACAUUUGUCAUAAGGCUAAGGAAAAAUGCCCAAAAAUCUUACCAGUAUUUAUCAAAUAAAAUACAAUAUUUAUAAAUUAUUCUAUUUAAUGCGAGAAAAUCUACAUGUGUGUUUAAUAUAAAAAAUGUGUUAACGUUUUUUUACAUUUACAAAAAAAAAUUGUAUGGGGACCAAAGAUCUCCUUCCUAUUACUAAUGGACACUUUAUUAAAGCCUCACGUGACGCACCUGCGCGAGAACAACCGUCCGUCUAUCCAUCCAUCAACACUGAUGCUAAAUUUAUUCGCCCAUGUGCAAAAUGAAUUGCAUAUAUACAUCCGUAUACAUGUAUAUAAACCAAAAGCUGCUUUUUCAGCUCGUAAUUGGUAAUGUGAACGAGUAUAUUGGAUAGUGUAUUGUCACAAGUAUUGUUCUUUCGUGAACAUAAUGCUGCAAUUUAAUCCAUAAUGUGAUAUUUUUACUCGCUAUAUCUUUCAAUAGUUUGGAUUAUCCGAAUACUCCGACAACUUCGCAAAAAAGACGAGUGAAUGUAAAAAUUGAACGUAUGCUAUUAAAAAUAAAAAAUGAAGAACAAUUUCAAUUAGAAGAGACAGAAACUUUAGAUUUUUAUGAUGAGUAUAAGAUCCCAGAAGCGGAAAAAGUUUAUUUAUUAGAGGUGGAUGAAAAAAAAUCUAUUUUUCAGAAGAAGUUAUUUGUGAUUUAGUUGAAGAAACAAUAUCAACUGACUAUAAGAGGCAAGCUGUGGAAUACUGGAAAAGUAGUAAGACAAAAACAAGAUCGCUUGAAGGAGUUAAGCAAAAAUUUAGAAAAGUUACAUCAAUACGACAAUUACGACGAUGGGAAAACUAUUUCAUCCAAGGUAGUAGAAGGCCAGAAAAAUUUAAAAAAUUUCUAAAUACACAUUAGACCAUUUUCAUGAAACAUUUGAAAGAAAAAUCAUCAUUUAUGACAUUGACAUCGCUCGAUGGACUUCUCAAACACAAAAUGAAGAAAAUGUGGUAGGAUUCAAAGCUCAGAGGAAUGGGUACAAAGAUUUAAGAAAACACAUAAUAUUGUGUCUA